rnacentral:rRNA from 1 species
GACGAACGCUGGCGGCGUGCUUAACACAUGCAAGUCGAACGGAAAGGCCCCUUUGGGGGUACUCGAGUGGCGAACGGGUGCGUAACACGUGAGUAACCUGCCCUUGACUUCGGGAUAACUUCAGGAAACUGGGGCUAAUACCGGAUAGGAAUCCUUGCUGCAUGGUGGGGGUUGGAAAGCUUCGGCGGUUUUGUAUGGACUCGCGGCUUAUCAGCUUGUUGGUGGGGUAGUGGCUUACCAAGGCUUUGACGGGUAGCCGGCCUGAGAGGGCGACCGGCCACAUUGGGACUGAGAUACGGCCCAGACUCCUACGGGAGGCAGCAGUGGGGAAUAUUGCACAAUGGGCGGAAGCCUGAUGCAGCAACGCCGCGUGCGGGAUGACGGCCUUCGGGUUGUAAACCGCUUUCAGCAGGGGCGAAGCUUGUGGUGACGGUACCUGCAGAAGAAGCACCGGCUAACUACGUG